UCAUUUGUUUGAUUCGUUGUGAUCUGCCGUCCGCCGUCCCCCCCAAACUUGAACCGUUAUCUACAGGACGAAGACAAAUGAUAGAACACUUGCUUUAUCUCCGUCGCUUAUUUUAUUCCACUCCCUUCCUUCUUUUAGAUUGAAUUAUUAACUAUAUAUCACUCUUUAGAGUAGCUGAAGCGUGCGGCUACCGUCUCCUCCCCCUCCUCCUCCUUCUAUGGCACAUAAAGCAAAUUGUUCUACAUGCAAAGUACUAUGCAAAGACAUUGAACCGAGAGCUUCAAACUUCACUCCAACACUCUCCUCCAGCUUCCUCCGAUUGUCUCUGGAUUUACAUAAUCAUGCUCGGCGGCUUCAGUCUCCCAAAAUCCGAGUCUCUCGUGCUGCUGCCAAGAUGGUGGUUAAGGACGGUGUAGCUGAAAUGGCGGCUACAGAGAUUGAAAGGGAGAAACAUAGUGUGAAAUGUGAAGCGUUGAGAGUUGGACUUAUCUGUGGAGGUCCGUCUGCGGAACGUGGAAUUUCUCUCAAUUCUGCUAGAUCAGUUCUUGAUCACAUACAGGGAGAUGAUUUGCAAGUGAGCUGUUACUACAUCGAUCCGGAGUUGAAUGCGUACGCAAUAUCUUCUGCUCAGGUUUAUUCAAACACUCCAGCAGAUUUUGAUUUUAAACUUAAAAGCCUUGCCCGCGGUUUCCGGUCUUUGACUGACUUUGCUGAGCACCUUUCUACUUCCGUGGACAUAGUAUUCCCUGUUAUACAUGGUCGGUUUGGUGAAGAUGGUGGGAUCCAGGAACUACUGGAAACGCAUAACAUUCCAUUUGUUGGAACAGGUUCAACGGAGUGUGCACAUGCCUUUGACAAGUAUAACGCCUCCUUGGAGCUCGAUAGACUUGGAUUCAUAACAGUGCCUAAUUUUCUGGUACAGGCUGGUAGUGUAAGUGAAUCUGACCUAUCAAAGUGGUUUUUGAGAAAUCAGCUAGAUCUUAGCUCAGGAAAAGUUGUUGUAAAACCAGCAAGAGCAGGAUCAAGCAUUGGUGUGUCGGUUGCAUAUGGAGUGGUGGAUUCACUUAAGAAAGCUAAUGAGAUUAUUUCAAAGGAAAUUGACGAUAAAGUCCUUGUUGAAGUAUUUCUUGAACGAGGCAGUGAGUUCACUGCAAUUGUCCUUGAUGUGGGAUCUGGUUCUGUUUGUCAUCCUGUUGUACUACUACCAACAGAAGUUGAGCUUCAAUCCCAUGGUUGGGCUGAUGCCGGAGAAAAGGAUGCAAUUUUCAAUUACCGGAGGAAAUAUCUCCCCACCCAGCAGGUUGCAUAUCAUACUCCUCCUCGUUUUCCUAUUGAUGUGAUAGAAAGCAUCCGUGAAGGAGCAUCUUUACUCUUCAAAGGACUUGGUCUCUGUGAUUUUGCCCGAAUUGAUGGGUGGUUUUUGCCUAAUUCCUCUCAUGAUUCUUCAUCCUCCACAGGGAAGUUUGGAAGGACUGCAUCAGGCACAGUAGUGUAUACAGACAUAAAUUUGAUAAGUGGGAUGGAACAAACCAGUUUUUUGUUUCAGCAAGCCUCAAAGGUUGGUUUUUCUCACUCAAACAUACUUAGGAGCAUUAUUUACCAUGCUUGCUUGCGGUAUCCCAGUCUAGGAUCAUUGGACUGUAUGUCCGGAAAUAUGCCUAGAAGAUCAAUCUCCUCUCAACGUAGUCAAGCAUAUUCUAGCACAGAAAGCAACCAAAAAGUUUUUCUUAUUUUUGGAGGAGACACAUCAGAACGUCAAGUAUCUCUUAUGAGUGGAACAAAUGUUUGGCUUAAUCUGCAAGCAUUUGAUGAUCUUGAAGUAACUCCAUGUUUACUUGCCCCGUCUAUCGAGCAAACAUCUAGUGUGGAUUUGGACAAAAAUGAAGCUGACAUGACUUCCAAAACAGUUUGGUCAUUGCCUUACUCACUUGUGCUGAGACACACCACAGAGGAAGUUCUUGCUGCAUGCAUUGAGGCAUUUGAACCAACUCGUGCAGCAUUAACAUCUCAUCUGCGUGAGCUAGUGGUGACUGAUCUUGAAGAAGGUCUGAAGAAGCAUAGUUGGUUUGCAGGAUUUGAUAUCAAAGAUGAAUUACCUGUGAAAUUUUCCUUGGAGCAGUGGAUCAAGAAAGCGAAGGAAGUUGAUGCGACAGUGUUUAUAGCAGUGCAUGGAGGCAUCGGCGAAAAUGGCAUGCUUCAAUCAUUGUUAGAGGCCAAAGGAGUUCCUUAUACAGGUCCCGGAGUGGCAGCCUCUAACAUAUGCAUGGACAAAGUAGCAACUUCGUUGGCCCUAAACCAUCUUUCAGACAUGGGGGUACUUACCAUUAAAAAGGAUGCGAGGAGGAAAGAUGAGCUCUUGAAUAUCCCUACAUUAAAUUUAUGGCAUGACUUAACCUGCAAGCUUCAGUGUCAGUCGUUAUGUGUUAAACCAGCUAGAGAUGGUUGCUCAACCGGGGUUGCAAGACUAUGCUGCGCUGAUGACCUUGCGGUGUAUGCGAAAGCAUUGGAGUACUGCCUCGUCAGAAUUCCUUCUAAUAGUUUAUCAAGGGCACACGGUAUGAUUGAAAUGCCAAAACCACCUCCAGAGCUCUUGAUUUUUGAACCUUUUAUCGAGACCGAUGAGAUAAUUGUUUCGUCCAAAUAUACCAAUGAGUCUGAACGACUUUUGUGGAAAGGACAGAGUAGAUGGGUGGAAAUAACCGUAGGUGUUGUGGGAACACGUGGAUCAAUGCACUCAUUGAGUCCUAGCGUCACUGUCAAGGAAAGUGGGGAUAUCUUAUCUCUUGAGGAGAAAUUCCAAGGUGGGACUGGCAUCAAUUUAACUCCACCACCUUUAUCGAUUAUUAGUAAUGAGUCGCUGGAGAAGUGUAAACAACAUAUUGAACUGAUUGCAAACGCACUACAGCUGGAAGGAUUUUCCCGAAUAGAUGCAUUCGUAAAUGUUGACAGUGGAGAGGUCUUAGUCAUUGAAGUUAAUACUGUCCCGGGAAUGACACCUUCCACAGUUCUCAUCCACCAGGCACUAGCGGAGACACCACCUGUAUACCCCCAUCAGUUCUUUCGCAGAUUGCUUGAUUUAGCAUUGGAGAGGUCACCAUAAAAUCGACAAGGUAGAAUCAUUUAAGUAGUUUUUAUCAAGCUAUUUUGUGAAGUGAUUCAAUUUAUGGGUUUUCUUUACUUUUACUUUUGAUCUUGAUUAUCAAGCUUUCUGUACUCUGUUUCUUUUUGUUUGUCCACUCCAAAUAAAAAUGCCCCAACAACGCAAGGAAAGAUAAGAGAGAAGGAAGCAUCCCCUGCACGAUGCUCCAGCCUGGGUUUGAGGGUAACUAAAGUCAGUAAAGGUAAAGGAUUAUUAUUAUUUAUUAUUAUUUAUGGUCCAGCUCUCUCUUUCUCUCACCCGCGUCUGUGACCCUGCCUCCCUCACUGCCCAAUCGUAGCUACCUUCUCUGCUUCUUUCUUUCUUUCUUUCUUAUUUUUAUAAACCCCCCAACAUGACAGCCUCUGAGCCCCAUUUGUUCUCUUUAUGGAGCGGUCGCUUAUUACCUUUCUCCCGAGGGAAGCGCCCCUCCAAUUCCCAGAGGGCUGUCUUCUCCAGUUGCAUCUGCCUUCUCCUUCACCUUUGCUCUUUUCCCCCAUUUGUUUCCAAUUAUUUCAUUAUGCCCCAUUGGGAUGGAUAAAUUGCUGAUUAGGUCUUUAAAAUUAAUUCGAAAUAUGCCCACCUCGUUGUGGCCGACUGUUCAUGAAUGUAAACAUGAAUGCGGUGUCAGCCAUUCCUUCCA